rnacentral:rRNA from 1 species
UGAGCAACCUGCCCCUGACUCUGGGAUAAGCGGUGGAAACGCCGUCUAAUACCGGAUACGACCCGCCACCUCAUGGUGGAGGGUGGAAAGUUUUUCGGUCAGGGAUGGGCUCGCGGCCUAUCAGCUUGUUGGUGGGGUAACGGCCUACCAAGGCGAUUACGGGUAGCCGGCCUGAGAGGGCGACCGGCCACACUGGGACUGAGACACGGCCCAGACUCCUGCGGGAGGCAGCAGUGGGGAAUAUUGCGCAAUGGGCGAAAGCCUGACGCAGCGACGCCGCGUGGGGGAUGACGGCCUUCGGGUUGUAAACCUCUUUUACCACCAACGCAGGCUUCCAGUUCUCUGGAGGUUGACGGUAGGUGGGGAAUAAGGACCGGCUAACUACGUGCCAGCAGCCGCGGUAAUACGUAGGGUCCGAGCGUUGUCCGGAAUUAUUGGGCGUAAAGAGCUCGUAGGCGGCGUGUCGCGUCUGCUGUGAAAGACCGGGGCUUAACUCCGGUUCUGCAGUGGAUACGGGCAUGCUAGAGGUAGGUAGGGGAGACUGGAAUUCCUGGUGUAGCG